CAGCUAUGGAACAAGCCUGUGGAGGAGAUGAGACCCCAUCUUCUUCCGAUUAUGAGGAUGAUUUUGACAUCCGACCAGCCACUGAAAAGACUGUCGAAGGUAAAGAACUUUUAAACAAACUAUGUCAGAAAGGAGAGAAAAAGCGUGAGCCUGAACAGCCAAUUGAAG